GUCUGUUUGAGUGUGUGCUUGACAGUUAUAGGCUCGAGUCCCCGACUCCCUAUCAACUUGUUGUGUUGUUGUGUGCUUGGAAGCUGAUGUAAGUCCAUCGAGUGGCAUUUGGGUUCCAGUGUGCGUGUGUUUAGGUUCGGAUGUCAAUGUAAGUCCAGUGAUUGGCAUUUGGGCUCCAUGUUUGCCUUCUUGUGUGUUUUGGUUCGGAUGCUGAUGUAAGUCCAGUGAUUGGCAUUCAGGCUCCAUGUUUG